UACGGGGGGGGGCAAGCGUUGUUCGGAAUUACUGGGCGUAAAGGGCUCGUAGGUGGCCAACUAAGUCGGACGUGAAAUCCCUCAGCUUAACUGGGGAACUGCGUCCGAUACUGGAUGGCUUGAGUUUGGGAGAGGGAUGCGGAAUUCCAGGUGUAGCGGUGAAAUGCGUAGAUAUCUGGAGGAACACCGGUGGCGAAGGCGGCAUCCUGGACCAACACUGACACUGAUGAGCGAAAGCCAGGGGAGCAAACGGG
rnacentral:rRNA from 1 species